UACGAAGGGGGCUAGCGUUGUUCGGAUUUACUGGGCGUAAAGCGCACGUAGGCGGAUUGCUAAGUCAGGGGUGAAAUCCUGGAGCUCAACUCCAGAACUGCCUUUGAUACUGGCGAUCUCGAGUCCGGGAGAGGUGAGUGGAACUGCGGGUGUAGAGGUGAAAUUCGUAGAUAUUCGCAAGAACACCAGUGGCGAAGGCGGCUCACUGGCCCGGUACUGACGCUGAGGUGCGAAAGCGUGGGGAGCAAACAGG
rnacentral:rRNA from 1 species